rfam:Triticum aestivum genome assembly, contig: Triticum_aestivum_CS42_TGACv1_scaffold_592803_7BS
CUUAUACUCCCUCCGUCCGGAAAUACUUGUCGGAGAAAUUGAUGAAUCUAGACGUAUUUUAGUUAUAAAUAUAUUUAAUUUUAUUCAUUUCUUCGACAAGUAUUUCAGGACGGAGGGAGUAAUAG